rnacentral:rRNA from 1 species
CAGUCGCCACGGUAAAACGUAGGGUGCAAGCAUUAAUCGGAAUUACUGGGCGUAAAGCGUGCGCAGGCGGUUAUAUAAGACAGAUGUGAAAUCCCCGGGCUCAACCUGGGAACUGCAUUUGUGACUGUAUAGCUAGAGUACGGCAGAGGGGGAUGGAAUUCCGCGUGUAGCAGUGAAAUGCGUAGGUAUGCGGAGGAACACCGAUGGCGAAGGCAAUCCCCUGGGCCUGUACUGACGCUCAUGCACGAAAGCGUGGGGAGCAAACAGGAUUAGAUACCCCGGUAGUCCCUGUCUCUUAUAC